rnacentral:rRNA from 1 species
GAUGAACGCUGACAGAAUGCUUAACACAUGCAAGUCUUUGGCGAAGCUGUGCUUGCACCGCCUAGCCAAGGCGGACGGGUGAGUAACGCGUAAGGAACUUGCCCUGCAGUCAGGGAUAACAGACGGAAACGACUGAUAAGACCUGGUAAAGUCAGGCGGACUCAUGUCCAGCCUGAUGAAAAGAGAUGCUGCAGGAGAGCCUUGCGUCCUAUUAGCUUGUUGGUGGGGUAACGGCCCACCAAGGCGAUGAUAGGUAGCCGGCCUGAGAGGGUGGACGGCCACAAGGGGACUGAGAUACGGCCCUUACUCCUACGGGAGGCAGCAGUGGGGAAUAUUGGACAAUGGGGGCAACCCUGAUCCAGCAAUUCUGUGUGCACGAUGAAGGUUUUCGGAUUGUAAAGUGCUUUCAGCAGGGAAGAAAAAAUGACGGUACCUGCAGAAGAAGCGACGGCUAAGUACGUG